rnacentral:rRNA from 1 species
AUUGAACGCUGGCGGCAGGCCUAACACAUGCAAGUCGAGCGGAUGAAGGGAGCUUGCUCCUGGAUUCAGCGGCGGACGGGUGAGUAAUGCCUAGGAAUCUGCCUGGUAGUGGGGGAUAACGUCCGGAAACGGGCGCUAAUACCGCAUACGUCCUGAGGGAGAAAGUGGGGGAUCUUCGGACCUCACGCUAUCAGAUGAGCCUAGGUCGGAUUAGCUAGUUGGUGGGGUAAAGGCCUACCAAGGCGACGAUCCGUAACUGGUCUGAGAGGAUGAUCAGUCAACCGGGAACUGAGAACCGGUCCCAACUCCUAGGGGAGGCAGCGGUGGGAAAUAUUGGAAAAUGGGCGAAACCCUGACCCAGCCAGGCCGGGUUGUUGAAGAAGGUUUUCGGAUUGUAAAGCAUUUUAAGUUGGGAGGAAGGGCAGUAAGUUAAAACCUUUCUUUUUUGACGUUCCCAACAAAAUAAGCACCGGCUAACUUCGU